GGCAGCUUUAAAUACAUAAAUUUGACACACCAUGGCAAUCAGCUUUAGAUGCAUAAACUUGGCACAUCAUGGUAAUCAGUUUUCAGAGGCAUACAAUUGGCACACCAUGGCAAACAGUCAGAUGCAUACAAUUGGCACACCAUGGCAAUCAGUUUUAAAAGCAUAAAAUUGGCACGCCAUGGCAAUCAGCUUUGGAGGCAUACAAUUGG